rnacentral:rRNA from 1 species
GAUGAACGCUAGCGGCAGGCUUAACACAUGCAAGUCGAGCGCUGUAGCAAUACAGAGCGGCGCACGGGUGAGUAACACGUGGGAACGUGCCCUAUGGUUCGGAAUAACUCAGGGAAACUUGAGCUAAUACCGGAUAAGCCCUUACGGGGAAAGAUUUAUCGCCAUUGGAGCGGCCCGCGUCCGAUUAGCUUGUUGGUGAGGUAAAGCUCACCAAGGCGACGAUCGGAGCUGGUCUGAGAGGAUGAUCAGCCAGACUGGGACUGAGACACGGCCCAGACUCCUACGGGAGGCAGCAGUGGGGAAUUUUGGACAAUGGGGGCAACCCUGAUCCAGCCAUGCCGCGUGC